rnacentral:rRNA from 1 species
UACGUAGGGUGCAAGCGUUAUCCGGAUUUAUUGGGCGUAAAGAGUGCGUAGGCGGUUUUGCAAGUCAACAUUUAAAUCGUGGGGCUCAACCCCAUAGCUGGUGUUGAUACUGUGAGACUAGGUUGUUUGAGGGGGUAUCGGAACAGUUAGUGGAGCAGUGAAAUGCGUUGAGAUUAACUGGAACACCAAAGGCGAAGGCAGAUACCUGGCAAACCAACGACGCUGUUGCACGAAAGCGUGGGGAGCAAAACGG